CUCAGAAGGCUGAGGCAGGAGAAUGACUUGAACCCGGGAGGCAGAGUUUGCAGUGACCCAAAAGUGUGCCACUGCACUCCAGCUUGGGCAACAGAGAGAGACCCUAUCUCAAAAAAAAAAAAAAAAAA